rnacentral:rRNA from 1 species
CACAAGCGGUGGAGUAUGUGGUUUAAUUCGAAGCAACGCGAAGAACUUACCAGGCCUUGACAUGCAGAGAACUUUCCAGAGAUGGAUUGGUGGCCUUCGGGAACUCUGACACAGGUGCUGCAUGGCUGUCGUCAGCUCGUGCCGUGAGAUGUUGGGUUAAGUCCGUAACGAGCGCAACCCUUGUCCUUAGUUACCAGCACGUUAUGGUGGGCACUCUAAGGAGACUGCCGGUGACAAACCGGAGGAAGGUGGGGAUGACGUCAAGUCAUCAUGGCCCUUACGGCCUGGGCUACACACGUGCUACAAUGGUCGGUACAAAGGGUUGCCAAGCCGCGAGGUGGAGCUAAUCCCAUAAAACCGAUCGUAGUCCGGAUCGCAGUCUGCAACUCGACUGCGUGAAGUCGGAAUCGCUAGUAAUCGUGAAUCAGAAUGUCACGGUGAAUACGUUCCCGGGCCUU